rnacentral:lncRNA from 1 species
CAAGAACUCUUUAGCUAACAGUUCCCUAGAACACCACUUCCCUAAUCACAAUCUCAAGCCUGCUGCUCAGUAUUUAAGGGGCACCAGGCAACUGCAUCCUUCCACCUCCAAUAUCAGGUGAUUCUGAAGAUGGAUAUUGUCUUUGGCAAUGGGAGGGAGAAGUACACAGAGGUAGGCUCUUUAGAGAUGGUGUAGAAGAAUGUGGCUUAUAUAGUUCAGAGAAGAUAAGGGGAUGCUGAGGCCCCCAGGGCUUCUCUGUGUUUUUUCCCCCUCUAUGGGUUGGGUGGGGGGAGAGUGAAUUUCUGGCUCUGGUUGUGGAAAGUGGAGAUCCUGGGGUCUGUGGGUGUCCAUGGAAGAGGGCUGUGGGUGUCCUGGUUCCUGGGAGACCAUCGCCUAUCCCAGGGUCUUGAAGGAGACUCAGCUACUCACUGGAAAAUAAGAGAACAGGGAGGGUGGCUGAAGGACCCAGGUGAACUUGGGAGGGGUUAAUAGGGCCUCUGGACAAGUCAGUGGACAGGCAGGGGGAGUGAGCUAGGGGUGGGACAUGGGAGGAGGGGAGAAAGGGGAGGGUUUGGGAUGGUGUGCUCAUGAGCCCUCUGCAGCCUGUGGAAGGCUAGCUCCCCCGUCUCCACCUCACUGUGAUGGUGGCUCAUUCUUCAGUUCUCAAGAAAAAAAAAAUAAAAA